rnacentral:tRNA from 1 species
CAAAGAAUAGUUUAAUGAAAAUUAUAAUUUUGGAGAUUAUAGAUGAAGAGAUUUCUUUUUCUUUGA